rnacentral:rRNA from 1 species
AACGUAGGAGGCGAGCGUUAUCCGGAGUUACUGGGCGUAAAGAGCGUGUAGGCGGGUAUGCAAGUUUGGGGUGAAAGCUCCCGGCUAAACUGGGAGACUGCGUUGAAGACUGCGUAUCUAGAGGCAAGUAGAGGGACGUGGAAUUCCGGGUGUAGUGGUGAAAUGCGUAGAGAUCCGGAGGAACACCAGUGGCGAAGGCGACGUCCUGGGCUUGACCUGACGCUGAGACGCGACAGCACGGGGAGCGAACGGG